AGCCUCUGUUGCCUCUCCACAUGCAUGGCCGCAUCAUCAACCGGUUCUUUUAGCGAGGAAGAGAAACAUGAGCAUGUGUUUUUGGCUUGUUGCCUUUGUUUCUGAUGAUGUGCUGCUUCUCCUCACUGUACAAAAAUCGAAGAGAUUAUUGACGUUCUGAAAGAGAUGCACAAUGAGAUAAUCAAGCAAAUGGUGGCAAAAAGGAAUCACUCUGAAGAAUUACAGAGAGAUGAUGAAGCAACCGGCGGCAAAAAGAACCAAUCUGAAGAAUCAUAGAUAAAUUUGGCAAACAACCGGAGCACUUGAAGAAUGGUCAUAGGGUACACCCAAUCAAAAGAGAAAGAAGAGAAGCCUUACCUGUGGGUAUCAAGAGAAGUGGAAACAAUCAAUGGGCGCCGGGAAACAGGAAAGAGGCCUCACCUACCAG